rnacentral:lncRNA from 1 species
GCGGCGCGUGGGCCUGCGCGUGAGGAGGGCCGUUGGAAAGGUGUCAGGCGCGCGGCUCCCGGAGGCGGCGACACGACGCGGAGUUAACCGUUGUCGGGGGGGGCGCACUUGGCGUAACCCAGAGCUGCAGUGAGGCUGGAGCUCAGUGAGCGCCCGGGGUGGCGCUGGAGGCCGGGAAGGGUCCUUCUCCCGGAGUCUGGUCGCUAAGCCGCGUGGGGUCCGGUCCCGUUCUCCGUCCGCUGCCCCUUCCUCGGCCCCGGGCCCUGCAGAUGCGCGUUAAGGACCCUGGUUGGCCCGUUGGCGUCCGCUCCGCUCGCCCCCUCCAGGCUCUGCUGGGAAGCAAUGGUUUUCAACUUUUCCCCUUAAUAUACUUUUCUUCUUAAUAUUUCUGAGGGUUGUCAUUCCAACCUGGGCUGUUGCUCAUGGCCCACGCUAUGCAGCAAGCUUUCUCAAAACCUGGAGUCUGUCACAGACCUUUACUUCAGCCAGCAACACACCUGUUAACCUGGCCAAGGCACCUCUUCAUCUCUUAGUUCCUGCUCAUAGUUCUUGGUUCAUCCUGAGCUGAAUUUCUCCAUUGUGAGGAGGAGGAGGAGUCUCCCUGAAGAAAAUAAGGCAGGUAGGUAAGCCCACGGGACACGCGGGAUGAGUCCCUCAACCAUAGAGCUACCUCAGCGUUUUCUC